GGAAAUGCUGUGUACUGAGUGCUGGCCGGGUCGUGCCCUUUUACCCAUGUGUACAGUUUUCCGAAGAGCUUGGCCCAGACAGCCCUAGUGCCUCUGUAUAUAGAUGAAGGUUGUGAGGCUCAGAGAAGGUAAAUGAGGAGCCUGAGGACAUCAGCCUGCCGAGCUCAGGGGCUCCUCGCCCUGCACCCAGCAGCCUCUGGUGUCCCAAGCUGUGGCCUGGCCCAGGGUGGAGGACAUGGCUGACCCAGGUCUCUUGGUGCUGUUUGUCUGGCAACACCUGACGAGGUCUCCUUUUCUGCACCCAUUCCUUCAUUCCUGAGCAUGCUAGGCUGUGUGCUGGCUCCUGGGCAGAACACACUGGAUGAGCCAGGUGCCGUCCUUCCCAUUCAGAGCCUGAAGCUAGUGGGGACCCUAAGGAGAUUCAGGGACAUCCAGCUUUAUGGCUGGGAGUAAUUUUAAAUCCAGCCUCUCUUCAACUUUCACACACCACCUCCACCUGUUCUUCAGUGUGGUGGGGAACAGAACCUAUUGGGGCCCUCACCUUGAGGCAAGCAUGUCUUCCAGGCUGCCCAGCCACAAGGGGGUGCUGUAACAGCCGUGAGCAGGAUUUCCCAGGCUCUAGCUUGCACUCAAUGGCAGGAGCUCUGGCUCUGUUUACCAUGCCCGCAGGGACUUCAAGAGUCCCCAUUUGAGACCCAUGCUGGCCACCUGGGCCACCAUUUGUCUCCCCUCCUGCUCCAGGUGUAUGGGGGAAGACCUGUCUGCCUUCACCUAGGCCAUGUCUUGAUGCUGCCCAAGAAGCCACAUCUUGUGCACAUCUGGUGCAGGGGAUCCUUGCACCAGGCUGGGCAUGAGCCAAGGUUCUCUUCCACGAGCGGAUCCUUUUCCAAGUGGGAACGCCUGGAGAGCCAGGGACUUGAAUCUUUUGGGCGCUGGCGAUUGAACCCAGGGCCUUUACACUGAACUAUAUUCUCAGCCCUUUUUAUUUUUUAUUUUGAGAUAGAGUCUCACUAAGUCACCUAGAUUGACCUUGAACUUGCAAUCCUCCUGCCUCAGCCUCCAGAGUACGAGGGAUUUCAGGCAUGCACCCCUGUGCCCAACUAUUAGAGCCUCUUAUGUUGCCUAGUUGAACUUAAUUUUUAGAGUCACCAUAUGAAAGAGAUAUUCUUACCCCACUUUGCAGAUGAGGGAACCAAGGUACACAGAGAUGGAAUGACCUGGCUGAAGUCAUGUGACUGGUUAGUGGCAGAUGGGGAUUUGAAUUUAGGUCCUGACUGCAAAGAGCUCUUCCCAACAUGUAUGUUGGAUAAAUGAAUGAAAGGAUGAACGAAUAAAUGAGCGAACAAAGACACACAUGCCUGUCCAAGGUGGUGGCUGUCGUUUUUCAGCAUUUUCAGGGUGACUGAUUCGCUCAGGGUCAAGGUACCAGGCAGCAAUGACAGGGCAG
rnacentral:lncRNA from 1 species